rnacentral:lncRNA from 1 species
UUGCCAACUUCGAUUUGGGUAUAUCAAUGCAUUUGCAGAAAAAAUAGACUGAAUCUUAAGAACAAAGCACUAAGUAUUAGUGGCAUUCUCAAGGAGAAAAAAGGUGGCAUCAAGUAAGACUAGAACUUUCUCCAGGAGCAUCUGCAGCUCCUUUUAAAACUGUUGGAUGCAGACAGAACACUAGGCUGUAAGUAACAACUGCAGGCUCACACUGGAAAAAACAUCUUUUCCUGAAUAUUGAGUCUUACUGCUUGCCCAGAUCUCUCCUUUUUCAAGUCAUGCAAAGCUUUUAGUAAAGGAAAUUUCUCAACACCUAACUGGCUAC